UACGUAGGAUGCAAGCAUUAUCCGGAUUCAUUGGGUUUAAAGGGUGCGUAGGCGGGCGUUUAAGUCCGCGGUGAAAGUCUGCGGCUCAACCGUAGGAUUGCCGUGGAUACUGGACGUCUUGGAUUCGGUCGGGGCGGGCGGAAUGCGUGGUGUAGCGGUGAAAUGCAUAGAUAUCACGCAGAACGCCGAUAGCGAAGGCAGCUCGCCGGGCCGAUAUCGACGCUGAGGCACGAAAGCGUGGGGAUCAAACAGGAUUAGAUACCCUGGUAGUCCACGCCGUAAACGAUGAUGGCUGGGUGUUGGCGAUACACCGUCAGCGCCUGAGGGAAACCAUUAAGCUAUCCACCUGGGGAGUACGGCCGCAAGGCUGAA
rnacentral:rRNA from 1 species